CGUCGCCACCGCGCUCCUGCCAAGCCGACUUGGAGCGGAAGCUGAAGCCGAAGCCCCCAGCCAGAGGGUCGUCGCCACUCAGCGGGGGAUCGUCGUCGUCGUCCCUGCGCCAGCGGCUGGCCAGGCGCUGCUGCUUCUGCGGGGUCACCGACCCCCCGGGUUUCUUGGUGGAGCCGCGGGCCGAACCCCCCGGGGCGUGGGGGUAGCCAUUGGCUCGGGAGUCGGCCUCGCCCCACGCGGAGCGGUGUUCCGCGCCUCCCCGGGACGCCGGCGCCGUAGCUGUCUGCGCCGCGUAGCCCGGGGGGCUUACGCUUUUGGAGCUGGACAUCCCCCCCUCGGCCUCGUCGUCUUCUUCCUCCUCCCCCCCCGGGGGCCGGGCCGGGGGUCUCCAAGGGGAGGGCGGACGGCCGAGCAGGGGGACCAGGCUGGGGUCACACGACGGGGGCGGCCCUGGGCCCUGGGCAGUAGCUGGGCAUCUUGGCACCCCCGUGCUGAACGGAGAAGGAGGGCAGCGGGAGAGAGAGUGGGAGGCAGUUACAGCCCCGAGGUGAGAAGUGGCUGAGAAUCCGCGUCAGGAGUCCCAGGUCCGAGAUGGAGUUGGCUCCAAGCUGGGGCAGCGGGGACUGCUCGAGAUGCUGCGCCGCGCGCAGAGGGACGUCCGGACUCCUGGCUCGCGUCGAGCUCGACAAGGACCGGAGUUGCGGACGAGGCGGGACGGCGAGGUGUCCUUGCGGGCGGCGCCUCCCCGGAGCUGGCAAUGCCCGGGCGCGGCGCUCGCAGAUUCUGCCUAAGCGGAGCCCAGCGGCACACGAGGCGAGGCAGCUAGGGCGGCUCGGCAGGGGUCCCGGCGUGGAAACCAAGCGGGCACCCUUUCCUCACGGCAGACUGGGAGCGACUGGGAGCUGUCCCGCUGGAUGUUCCUGCAGUCUAAACACUAGGAGAGAUGAGGACCACUACACCUCUACUUCGGGGAGGGAAAAGCAACCUUGA
ensembl:lncRNA